UUUGCGUGUUUCUGGAACAGGC
rnacentral:miRNA from 1 species